rnacentral:rRNA from 1 species
UACGGAGGGGGCCAGCGUUGUUCGGAAUUAUUGGGCGUAAAGGGCGCGUAGGCGGUCGAGUAAGUCUGACGUGAAAUCCCUUGGCUCAACCAAGGAACUGCGUCUUAAACUGCUCGGCUUGAGUCCGGGAGAGGGUAGUGGAAUUCCCAGUGUAGCGGUGAAAUGCGUAGAUAUUGGGAGGAACACCGGUGGCGAAGGCGGCUACCUGGACCGGUACUGACGCUGAUGCGCGAAAGCUAGGGUAGCAAACAGG